rnacentral:antisense_RNA from 1 species
CUUGAUCGAGCCCAGCAGGACCGGGUGUUGCUCGUCCCGGCCCUGACCGUACGUCGCGAGCAGCGCCUGUGCUUC